rnacentral:rRNA from 2 species
UGGCGAACGGGUGAGUAACACGUGAGCAAUCUGCCCCUGACUCUGGGAUAACAGUUGGAAACAGCUGCUAAUACCGGAUACGAGCUGCGAAGGCAUCUUCAGCAGCUGGAAAGAACUUCGGUCAGGGAUGAGCUCGCGGCCUAUCAGCUUGUUGGUGAGGUAAUGGCUCACCAAGGCGUCGACGGGUAGCCGGCCUGAGAGGGUGACCGGCCACACUGGGACUGAGACACGGCCCAGACUCCUACGGGAGGCAGCAGUGGGGAAUAUUGCACAAUGGGCGAAAGCCUGAUGCAGCAACGCCGCGUGAGGGACGACGGCCUUCGGGUUGUAAACCUCUUUUAGCAAGGAAGAAGCGAAAGUGACGGUACUUGCAGAAAAAGCGCCGGCUAACUACGUGCCAGCAGCCGCGGUAAUACGUAGGGCGCAAGCGUUAUCCGGAAUUAUUGGGCGUAAAGAGCUCGUAGGCGGUUUGUCGCGUCUGCUGUGAAAACUGGAGGCUCAACCUCCAGCCUGCAGUGGGUACGGGCAGACUAGAGUGCGGUAGGGGAGAUUGGAAUUCCUGGUGUAGCGGUGGAAUGCGCAGAUAUCAGGAGGAACACCGAUGGCGAAGGCAGAUCUCUGGGCCGUAACUGACGCUGAGGAGCGAAAGGGUGGGGAGCAAACAGGCUUAGAUACCCUGGUAGUCCACCCCGUAAACGUUGGGAACUAGUUGUGGGGGCCAUUCCACGGUCUCCGUGACGCAGCUAACGCAUUAAGUUCCCCGCCUGGGGAGUACGGCCGCAAGGCUAAAACUCAAAGGAAUUGACGGGGACCCGCACAAGCGGCGGAGCAUGCGGAUUAAUUCGAUGCAACGCGAAGAACCUUACCAAGGCUUGACAUAUACGAGAACGCUGCAGAAAUGUAGAACUCUUUGGACACUCGUAAACAGGUGGUGCAUGGUUGUCGUCAGCUCGUGUCGUGAGAUGUUGGGUUAAGUCCCGCAACGAGCGCAACCCUCGUUCUAUGUUGCCAGCACGUAAUGGUGGGAACUCAUGGGAUACUGCCGGGGUCAACUCGGAGGAAGGUGGGGAUGACGUCAAAUCAUCAUGCCCCUUAUGUCUUGGGCUUCACGCAUGCUACAAUGGCCGGUACAAAGGGCUGCAAUACCG